UUAUAAAUGAGAAGUUACAUUCUCGUGCCACUCUCAAGGAAGGAAAAAAGGAAGCUGAGAAUUGAGGAUAGAAGAGUGUUUCCUUCCUGGCCGGUCAUUCCGCGUGAAUGAUCACUACUUGCUGCGACUGGCAGCACCAAGGUUGCUAUGUAUUUAAUGCCAGGAUUGCUAUGUUACUGUUAAUGGUGACGGUAAGAUAUAGCUACAAAGCAAGCUGCAAACGAGUAGGCUAAAACAUUGGUAAGGCUCCGCCCGACAAAUGGGCUCGAGGCGCGAAACUGAGGAUGAAUCAGGACCGUUGCUCAAAGGCGACGGGCUCGCCGACUAAAAUGCGUCCGCGCACACCGGAUCGCGGCUCACCGUCUCUCUCCUUCGCAUUUUCCCGCCAGAAACCCAUCCCCGUCGACCUUCAUUUACCGCCAAGUCUCUCUCUCCCGCCCUCUUCCCUGACCUAAACCCUCACUCGCGAGGCUCUGCGCGUAAUUAAUUGGCGUUGUGUUUUCGUGGCUAUGCGCGUAAUUGAUCGGCGGCGUUAUGCGAAUCCGGGAUCCAAUUUGAUGUUGUGAUGAAGCCGACAGCAAUCGCGAAGGAUUUCCUCUCGAACUUCGCCAACGCGAAUGGAGAAGCCAAGUACAUGAACGUCCUCACGUGGUCGAGGCCCCCCUCAUUGUUGCAUGGCUGCUCCCGCUGGCCUGGCUCGUGAGCCGGAGGGGCCGGCAAGUGGAUGAUAGGCGCCACAAGAUGAAGCGGCUGCUGCGAUUGGCUUCGGAAGAAGCUGUGCGAGUCGAGCUCAAGGCGUCGAUCGUGGCGUGGAUAGGCCUGAUUGAGGCCCUCAUCCUCUGCAUCAUAU